GACGAACGCUGGCGGCGUGCUUAACACAUGCAAGUCGAACGGAAAGGCCCUGCUUUUGUGGGGUGCUCGAGUGGCGAACGGGUGAGUAACACGUGAGUAACCUGCCCUUGACUUUGGGAUAACUUCAGGAAACUGGGGCUAAUACCGGAUAGGAGCUCCUGCUGCAUGGUGGGGGUUGGAAAGUUUCGGCGGUUGGGGAUGGACUCGCGGCUUAUCAGCUUGUUGGUGGGGUAGUGGCUUACCAAGGCUUUGACGGGUAGCCGGCCUGAGAGGGUGACCGGGCGGAGUGUGAGAGAGACAGGGCAGAGGCGGGGGCGAGGGGAGGCGGUGGAGAAGAGGGGAGGGGGGGAGCACGGCGGGGGGGGGAAGGGCGGGUGGGGGAGGACGGGCGUGGGGGUGGACGCGGUGUCGCCGUGUGACGAGGGGGGUGAGACGGAAAGGAGAAAAGAAGCCAGGACAAAGAACGGGGCAGCAGCGGAGGUAAUAGCGGGACGAGAACACCUCUGAUC
rnacentral:rRNA from 1 species